UGAAAAACUAUGCCUGGAACCAUAGUUAGACAAAUAAUUGAUUCUCAAAUAAAAAUUUGGACUCCAUUAGUCCUGUCACCAUUGAUAAAAUUGAACCUCUAAAUGGAACAAAGAAAAAAAUGAUUAUAUGGAAAUACAGCUUCAUCAGAACUAGCAAGCUAUUUUAUGGAGGAUGUCAGAAGACAAACAAGUCAGCUCCUUCACCUCCUUCCUGUGCUUCCUGGCAACCAUGAACAAUAGAGCAGUGCCCCUCCACCAUGUCCUUCUGCCACAUCUUGUGGUCAGAGCAAUGCCAUUGGCCAACCCAUGGACUAAACUUCUGAAACUGAAGAAGUUUCCCGUCUCCUGCCUGGAGUAAUUUUACUUUUCCAUCAGAAUCACAAGAGCAGUAUAGACUAUCAACACUACUGGGGAAGAAUUCAUUGUCUUUUUCAUCAAUUGUCAUACUUGUAUUAGUUUUCAACUGCUGAUGUAACAAAUGGCCGCAUGUUUAGUGUAUACAAAAUAUACACUUAUUAUCUUCAAUUCUGUUAAUCAAUUGUCUUACAUAGUCUAACAGGGCUAAAAUUGAAGAAUCAGCAAGUGCUCUGUUUCUCUAUGCAGUCUGUAGAAGAGAAUUUACUUCCUUGUCUUUCCCAGCUGCUAGAGGCCCUGCAUGUCUUUUACUUUUGGUUUGCUCCCUAUCUCUUUAAAGCUACCAGCAUUGAGUCAUGUCCUUCUCAUUCUGACCUUUUCUUUUCUGUCCACCUACUUUUAAAGACACUUGCAAUUAGGUCAAGCCCACUUAAUAAUACAGGGUAAUAUUUUCUAUAUUGAUAUGAGUUGAUUAACAGCCUUAAUUCUAUCUUCAACCUUAAUUCUCCUUUGUGAUUUAAGUAACAUCUACACAAAUUAUGAGUAUUAGGAUAUGGUCAUUUUUUUAGGGGACAUCAUUCUACUUAUUACAAUGCCUAAAAUACUUAGCAUAAUUAGUACUAAUUAAAAAUUUUCCUUAGAAGUGAAGAAAUGAAUGAAUAAAACCGAUAGAGUUGGUAUAUCUUUUUGGUAGGAAAUUUUACCAAUAUUUUUAAUUUUCAAAAACACUUUUAACAACAAUGACUGUGGAAGUUUUAUUUUUAAUGCAUUUUGAGUAUUCUAUGUUAUUAUCAUUAUUUGUCUUAUGGAAUCUAGAAAUGAGUUAAUGGAUUAUUAAGCCAUUGUGCUUUGUGGCCUAGUCAUUUUGUGUGUGUGUGUGAUUUCUUGAAGAUGCUUGCAUGUUGAUAUUGUCACCAAACUCAGGUUUGGAAGUUCAUCCCAUGAGAAAAAACAAUGCCCAAGAGACAAGUAUUGGGGACAAAGGUAAAAGACUUUAUUGAGGAUGCUGGCAACCUGGAAGGAGACAGACAUUACAAUGCCUUUUAACUUUUGGGAAGUGGAGAAUAUUUAUAUGAGGAUCAGGUUAGGGCAACUUGUAAAAUUUAGCAUUUCCCUGGAACUUUAGUCAGGAAGUCGGGUGGUUUGGCACCUUCCACAGGUGAUGAAACAUUGUGAUAGCAUUUUCUUACCUUGGGGACAGUAUGUUCCCAUUUGGGGUGAGGGGCCUAUUUUAGAAUCAGCUCAUAAAAACAAGCAAGACUACAGGAAUGCAUGGUGGCAUAGGCCAUAGUCUGAAAAUGGAAAUGGAACAGGAAAAGAGUAAAAAACUGGGGAACAAUUUUACCUUGUUAUGCAGCUUUGAUCAGAGAUGUCAUUUGCAGUAAAGCUAAUGGGAGAAUAAUAAUAUAUUAUUUAGUUAUAUGGCCUCCAAAAUUAGUGAUUCUUAAAGUCAACUAAAAGCAAGUUAAGCCAGAGGGAUUUUUUUAGGUUUCAACUCUGUUACAAUAAGACACCUGUGAUUUGGAUUUUAAUAUCAUUGAAAUAAGUUUAAUUAGGUUUAUUCACUUAACAUAAAAUGAUACUAAUAGCUUACAUAUGAUAAAUGUUUAUUAUCUUCCCCAUACUGAGAUAACUUAUAAAUGCUGUAUUUUUUUUCUAACUGUCCUAUCUGUCCUAUCAGUUUGUUUUGUGUAAAAUUUUAUGAUCA